GGAGAGUUUUCGAUAGCUGGUAAGCCUGUCCACGUAGACAUAUCCUUAAAGUUUGUGGGUCCCAUUUAUUGUCCGGUUUUAUUUGGUCGUAUGGUUUGUAGUUUGGUCCGGUUUAGUUUGUAGGUAAUAUGAUUGUAGUUUGGUCUGAUUUGUGUCUUCAGCGUUUUGUUUCAUAAAUGCUUGCUUUUUGUGCUUCAUACAUCCGAUUAGGGCUUCAUCGUUGUCUUCCUUCCUUACAGAACUCAAUCCACCGUAUCCCCGUAUAUGAUAGCUUCUCCCUAAAACAUUAUCCAUCUCACACGGUAGCUACGUUCAUGUAAGCCAAUCUUCCCCUGAAAGUUUGUAAUGUUUCUUGGAGUUUCAUAUGCGGUGACAAUAAAAAUUUUUGGGUUCAUCUUUUGGACAAUCGAUUUCAUCUUCUAAGAAACGUAUAUCAUAGAUUGGUAAUUUUUAUUCCAUAAGCUGUCAGAUUGAUGAUGUAUACAUUCAACAUCCGUAUGUUUGGGUUUGAAUAAUUGUCCGUCAAAAAAGUUGGUGAUUUUAAUUGUUGCUUUCAAUCUCACAUCAAAGAUUCUAAAUUUUGAUGUCACUAUGGUUUCCGCCGCAAAAGCCCCCUGCGUGCUGAACCGCUUCUCCCUCUCCUGUCACCACGAAGAUAAGUGAAUGACGACAAGAACGAAAGGAUAAAGUGGGAAUAUAGGACAUGAGAAGCACUGGUAUCGUUAACAGCUUUAGUUAGUGCGAAGAGAAAAGCUAAACAACUAAUCAUUUGUUAGAUUUGGGAUAGUUUAAUGUUUUACCAUCAUGUCUCUUGGUAAUGUGAAGUUAUGAAUCAGCUGUUUCAAGAAAAGUGACGUUCCAGAGUUACAUUUGUACCGGUGUUUGGCCAGCGUGUAAUACUAAUAUGCAUCCCAAUGGAUAGCUUAACAGUAACUUUAUGAUCACAUGGUUUGACCCUCUUGCACUAUAUCUCUCUUUCGCCCCAUUCACUAGCACAAAUCUCUCUGAUCUCAUAUAAUUUUGUUGUUAUUUGUAGAACCAUUUUAACGAUCAAAGCUCAUUGCUGUGUUCACGAAAUUUAAGCAGGUCUCUUGAUGGAAGCUUGACCGAUAGGUGAGUGUCCAUGCAGAUUUGACUCGAUGUUGUCUUUGAUAAUGAAAGAAUGAAGAACAAUAUCUUAUGAAGAUCACUAGGACCGCCAUAAGAAACCAGGACAAGCCGAAGUAAUCCUCUGCAGUCCAUGGCAAACCAAGCAUCUACAUCAAUCGGUGUCAGUUUACAGCACAAAGAUGCUUAGUGUUAUACGUUUCUCAGCUCACUCCAGGACUUAAUUGGAGCGGGCGAUGGAGAGAAUUAGGAGGAGAUUUUGUUUCUUGGUUUUGGUUUCUGGUCAGAGAAGCGAAGAUCAUUCUUAUUCAGGUCAUUUCUUGCUUUUAAAUGUUUCUCAGAUUUUGUUUCUGUAUCUGGUAUAGUGUUUCGAUUUAGAUUGUCAGCACUUGCCUUAAUUAAGUAUUGACAUGAUGCUCUAUCCACAGUCUGGAGUCAAGUAGAGUCAUGUUCUAUAGCGACUUAUGUUGUCCUCAUCUGAUUAUUGGAGUAUUACAAAAUGAUUACCAUACAAAAUGAAAGUAUCUCCAAUCAUUUGUCUUUUGCAUCCAUGAAUACACAAACUUUUUGAUGGAUAUUACUUCUGUCAAGUACAAAGAGAAGACUACUUUCAUCGAGCCAAGCCUUACAAGGACCAUCCUACCAUUGCAAGAAGCUGAAAAUGGAUUUUAGUGUAGUAAUACCGGUUAUCUUCCUUGAGGAGGCAAAUAAUGCACAUUACAACUCAAUUGACCUCAGGGCUUAUAGGAAGUCACAUAUUCAUGAUGGAGCAGCAGGUGAGUCAAGUUUGGAGUUGGAAAGAGGUUGACCUUCUUUUGCUGAUACCUAUUGUUUACUUCAAGUUAUCAAGAGAAAUUUCAUUUCAAUCCUGGUGACACUGGCUUUAAUGUAGUCUUGAGCGGCAGGAUCCCCAAACUAAAGUUUGCAAAAAUUGAAGAGUGUCUUAUUCAGCUAUACGUUGGGAUCAAUGGUUACCGAGGCAACUCGAGGUAUGAUUCUUCAAGGUGUUGAACUGUUUUAUACCACUGCCACUGGCUCUGGACCUCAAGACCAUGGAUUAGAUUCGGGUGAUCACUAGAGGAGAGUCAUGCAAGGCCACGCUGGAGCUAAUAUUAUGAGCUAUUAGCCCAAGGAUCAUGAGUGAUUUGGAAGAAAGUGAUGAUUUUGGAGCAUUUUGGAGAUAAUUGGAGAGAGCAUCCGAGGUGACCAUCAAGCAAGACCAAUGGUCGACAUUCAGAG